rnacentral:rRNA from 1 species
UACAGAGGUCUCAAGCGUUGUUCGGAUUCAUUGGGCGUAAAGGGUGCGUAGGCGGCGCGGUAAGUCGGGUGUGAAAUCUCGGAGCUUAACUCCGAAACUGCAUUCGAUACUGCCGUGCUUGAGGACUGGAGAGGAGACUGGAAUUUACGGUGUAGCGGUGAAAUGCGUAGAUAUCUGGAGGAACACCGGUGGCGAAGGCGGCAUCCUGGACCGAUAUUGACGCUGAUGCGCGAAAGCCAGGGGAGCAAACAGG